CCCUUAGAUGUUCUGGGCUGCACGCGCGCUACACUGAUGUGUCCAGUAAGCACCUAACCUCUUCCGAAAGGAACGGGUAACCUUUGCAAAGCACAUCGUGAUGGGGAUAGAUUAUUGCAAUUAUUAGUCUUGAACGAGGAAUUCCGAGUAAGCACAAGUCAUCAGCUUGUGUUGAUUACGUCCCUGCCCUUUGUACACACCGCCCGUCGCUCCUACCGAUUGAAUGUUCCGGUGAGCUCUUCGGACUGCGCGGUCUGCAGUUUCUGCGUUCCGUGCGGAAAGUUGCGCAAACCUUAACAUUUAGAGGAAGGAGAAGUCGUAACA
rnacentral:rRNA from 1 species